GUGUGCCUGGUCCUAAACCCUCCCUUAGAAUAUGCAUUAAGCUCCAGCCAGGACUGCCUUGCCAGGUUGUCCAUCUUUGCUGGAGGACCUUAGGCCUGGCCUGUCUAGAAUUGGUGGGGAAGAGAAGGAAAGAUCAUGAUUGCUACUUAGAGAUGCCUCACCUCAAACUAAAGCUGCUAAUAUAACUUGACAGAAAAGCUACAAACUGCUAGGGAGGCCGCAAGUUCGGCAGGGAGGAAUCAAGGAGAAGCAGUUAACAUUGCUACUAAUUUAGGC